CCUACGGGAGGCUGCAGUGAGGAAUAUUGGUCAAUGGACGAGAGUCUGAACCAGCCAAGUAGCGUGAAGGAUGACUGCUCUAUGGGUUGUAAACUUCUUUUAUAAAGGAAUAAAAUGAGGCACGUGUGCCGUUUUGCAUGUACUUUAUGAAUAAGGAUCGGCUAACUCCGUGCCAGCAGCCGCGGUAAUACGGAGGAUCCGAGCGUUUUCCGGAUUUAUUGGGUUUAAAGGGAGCGUAGAUGGGAUGUUAAGUCAGUUGUGAAAGUUUGCGGCUUAACCGUAAAAUUACAAUUGAUACUGGCAGUCUUGAGUGCAGUAGAGGUAGGCGGAAUUCGUGGUGUAGCGGUGAAAUGCGUAGAUAUCACGAGGAACCCCGAUGGCGAAGGCAGCUUACUAAGCUGUGACUGACAUUGAUGCUCGAAAGUGUGGGGAUCAAACAGGAUUAGAUACCCCGGUAGUC
rnacentral:rRNA from 1 species